UAUUUGACGUUAGCGACAGAAGAAGCACCGGCUAACUCCGUGCCAGCAGCCGCGGUAAUACGGAGGGUGCGAGCGUUAAUCGGAAUUACUGGGCGUAAAGCGCAUGCAGGUGGUUUGUUAAGUCAGAUGUGAAAGCCCGGGGCUCAACCUCGGAAUUGCAUUUGAAACUGGCAGACUAGAGUACUGUAGAGGGGGGUAGAAUUUCAGGUGUAGCGGUGAAAUGCGUAGAGAUCUGAAGGAAUACCGGUGGCGAAGGCGGCCCCCUGGACAGAUACUGACACUCAGAUGCGAAAGCGUGGGGAGCAAACAGGAUUAGAUACCCUGGUAGUCCACGCCGUAAACGAUGUCUACUUGGAGGUUGUGGCCUUGAGCCGUGGCUUUCGGAGCUAACGCGUUAAGUAGACCGCCUGGGGAGUACGGUCGCAAGAUUAAAACUCAAAUGAAUUGACGGGGGCCCGCACAAGCGGUGGAGCAUGUGGUUUAAUUCGAUGCAACGCGAAGAACCUUACCUACUCUUGACAUCCAGAGAACUUUCCAGAGAUGGAUUGGUGCCUUCGGGAACUCUGAGACAGGUGCUGCAUGGCUGUCGUCAGCUCGUGUUGUGAAAUGUUGGGUUAAGUCCCGCAACGAGCGCAACCCUUAUCCUUGUUUGCCAGCGAGUAAUGUCGGGAACUCCAGGGAGACUGCCGGUGAUAAACCGGAGGAAGGUGGGGACGACGUCAAGUCAUCAUGGCCCUUACGAGUAGGGCUACACACGUGCUACAAUGGCGCAUACAGAGGGCAGCCAACUUGCGAAAGUGAGCGAAUCCCAAAAAGUGCGUCGUAGUCCGGAUUGGAGUCUGCAACUCGACUCCAUGAAGUCGGAAUCGCUAGUAAUCGUGGAUCAGAAUGCCACGGUGAAUACGUUCCCGGGCCUUGUACACACCGCCCGUCACACCAUGGGAGUGGGCUGCAAAAGAAGUAGGUAGUUUAACCUUCGGGGGGACGCUUACCACUUUGUGGUUCAUGACUGGGGUGAAGUCGUAACAAGGUAGCGCUAGGGGAACCUGGCGCUGGAUCACCUCCUUA
rnacentral:rRNA from 1 species